GACUCAACACGGGGAAACUCACCAGGUCCAGACAUAACUAGGAUUGACAGAUUGAUAGCUCUUUCAUGAUUUUAUGGGUGGUGGUGCAUGGCCGUUCUUAGUUGGUGGAGUGAUUUGUCUGGUUAAUUCCGAUAACGAACGAGACCUUAACCUGCUAAAUAGCCAGGCCGGCUUUUGCUGGUCGCCGGCUUCUUAGAGGGACUGUCAGUGUCUAACUGACGGAAGUUUGAGGCAAUAACAGGUCUGUGAUGCCCUUAGAUGUUCUGGGCCGCACGCGCGCUACACUGACGGAGCCAGCGAGUACUGGCGCAAGCCUUCCUUGGCCGAAAGGCCCGGGUAAUCUUGGGAAACUCCGUCGUGCUGGGGAUAGUCCUUUGCAAUUAUCGCUCUUCAACGAGGAAUACCUAGUAAGCGUGAGUCAUCAGCUCGCGUUGAUUACGUCCCUGCCCUUUGUACACACCGCCCGUCGCUACUACCGAUUGAAUGGCUUAGUGAGGUCUCCGGAUUGGCUUUAGGGAGCCGGCAACGGCAUCCUUUUGCUGAGAAGCUGAUCAAACUUGGUCAUUUAGAGGAAGUAAAAGUCGUAACAAGGU
rnacentral:rRNA from 1 species